AUACUUACCUGGCAGGGGAGACACCAUGAUCACGAAGGCGGUUCACCCAGGACGAGGCUCGGCCAUUGCACUCAGGUUGGGUUGACUUUUGCGAAUUCCCCAAAUGUGGGAAUCUCGACUGCAUAAUUUCUGGUAGUAGUGGGGGACUGCGUUCGCGCUCUCCCCUU